GACGAACGCUGGCGGCGUGCUUAACACAUGCAAGUCGAACGAAGUGGCGAACGGGUGAGUAACGCGUAAUCAACCUGCCCUUCAGAGGGGGACAACAGUUGGAAACGACUGCUAAUACCGCAUACUGAAGGAGGGGAUUGCGUCUGAUUGGCUAGUUGGAGGGGUAACGGCCCACCAAGGCGAUGAUCAGUAGCCGGUCUGAGAGGAAGAACCGCCAACUUGGGACUUAGACACGGCCCAGGCUCCUAAGGGAGGCAGCAGGGGGGAAUCUUCCGCAAUGGACGAAAGUCUGACGGAGCAACGCCGCGUGAGUGAUGACGGCCUUCGGGGUGUAAAGCUCUGUUAAUCGGGACGCGGUACCGGAAUAGAAAGCCACGGCUAACUACGUGCCAGCAGCCGCGGUAAUUC
rnacentral:rRNA from 1 species